rnacentral:rRNA from 1 species
ACUCCUGCGGGAGGCAGCAGUGGGGAAUUUUGGACAAUGGGCGAAAGCCUGAUCCAGCAAUGCCGCGUGUGUGAAGAAGGCCUUCGGGUUGUAAAGCACUUUUGUCCGGAAAGAAAUCCUUGGCUCUAAUACAGUCGGGGGAUGACGGUACCGGAAGAAUAAGCACCGGCUAACUACGUGCCAGCAGCCGCGGUAAUACGUAGGGUGCGAGCGUUAAUCGGAAUUACUGGGCGUAAAGCGUGCGCAGGCGGUUUGCUAAGACCGAUGUGAAAUCCCCGGGCUCAACCUGGGAACUGCAUUGGUGACUGGCAGGCUAGAGUAUGGCAGAGGGGGGUAGAAUUCCACGUGUAGCAGUGAAAUGCGUAGAGAUGUGGAGGAAUACCGAUGGCGAAGGCAGCCCCCUGGGCCAAUACUGACGCUCAUGCACGAAAGCGUGGGGAGCAAACAGGAUUAGAUACCCGUGUAGUCCCA